rnacentral:rRNA from 1 species
UGUGUCGUAGCUAACGCGUUAAGCAUCCCGCCUGGGGACUACGGCCGCAAGGCUAAAACUCAAACGAAUUGACGGGGGCCCGCACAAGCAGCGGAGCGUGUGGUUUAAUUCGAUGCUACACGAAGAACCUUACCUGGGCUUGACAUGUAGGUGGUAGCGAAGCGAAAGCGGAGCGACCCUUCGGGGAGCCUUCACAGGUGCUGCAUGGCUGUCGUCAGCUCGUGCCGUGAGGUGUCGGGUUAAGUCCCGUAACGAGCGCAACCCUUGCCCUUAGUUAUACGUGUCUAAGGGGACUGCCGGCGGCAAGCCGGAGGAAGGUGGGGAUGACGUCAAGUCAGCAUGGCCUUUAUGUCCAGGGCUACACACACGC